rnacentral:rRNA from 1 species
AUUGAACGCUGGCGGCAUGCCUAACACAUGCAAGUCGAACGAGUGGCGGACGGGUGAGCAAUGUCUGGGAAACUCCCUGAUGGAGGGGGAUAACUACUGUAAACGGUAGCUAAUACCGCAUACCAUCAGAUGUGCCCAGAUGGGAUUAGCUGGUUGGUGGGGUAACGGCUCACCACGGCGACGAUCCCUAGCUGGUAUGAGAGGAUGACCAGCAACGCUGGAACUGAGACACGGUCCAGACUCCUACGGGAGGCAGCAGUGGGAAAUAUUGCACAAUGGGCGAAAGCCUGAUGCAGCCAUGCCGCGUGUAUGAAGAAGGCCUUCGGGUUGUAAAGUCCUUUCAGCGGGGAGGCGUUACCCGCAGAGAAAGCGCCGGCUAACUCCGUGCCAGCAGCCGCGGUAAUAC